rnacentral:rRNA from 1 species
UACGUAGGGUGCAAGCGUUAAUCGGAAUUACUGGGCGUAAAGCGUGCGCAGGCGGUUCGCUAAGACAGAUGUGAAAUCCCCGGGCUUAACCUGGGAACUGCAUUUGUGACUGGCGGGCUAGAGUAUGGCAGAGGGGGGGUAGAAUUCCACGUGUAGCAGUGAAAUGCGUAGAGAUGUGGAGGAAUACCGAUGGCGAAGGCAGCCCCCUGGGCCAAUACUGACGCUCAUGCACGAAAGCGUGGGGGAGCAAACAGGG